UACGAGGGGUGCGAGCGUUGCUCGGAAUUAUUGGGCGUAAAGGGUAGGUAGGUGGUCUCGUUUGUCUGGGGUGAAAUCCUUGAGCUUAACUCAAGAAGUGCCCUAGAAACGGCGAGACUAGAGUACUGGAGAGGGUCGUGGAAUUCCGGUGUAGCGGUGAAAUGCGUAGAUAUCGGGAGGAACAUCAGUGGCGAAGGCGGCUGCCUGGCCCAAUACUGACACUCAGGUGCGACAGCGUGGGAGCAACAGGAUGAGA
rnacentral:rRNA from 1 species